rnacentral:rRNA from 1 species
UACAUAGGUGGCGAGCGUUGUCCGGAUUUACUGGGCGUAAAGGGCGUGCAGGCGGUUUGUUAAGUGCAGGGUGAAAGCUCCCGGCUCAACUGGGAGAGGUCCUUGCAUACUGGCGAACUCGAGGGAGGCAGAGGAAAGUGGAAUUCCCGGUGUAGUGGUGAUAUGCGUAGAUAUCGGGAGGAACACCUGUGGCGAAGGCGGCUUUCUGGGCCUUACCUGACGCUGAGCCGCGAAAGCGUGGGGAGCGAUCCGG